AUUGAACGCUGGCGGCAUGCCUUACACAUGCAAGUCGAACGGCAGCACGGGAGCAAUCCUGGUGGCGUGUGGCGAACGGGUGAGUAAUAUAUCGGAACGUGCCCAGUCGUGGGGGAUAACGUAGCGAAAGCUACGCUAAUACCGCAUACGAUCUAUGGAUGAAAGCGGGGGAUCGCAAGACCUCGCGCGAUUGGAGCGGCCGAUAUCAGAUUAGGUAGUUGGUGAGGUAAAGGCUCACCAAGCCGACGAUCUGUAGCUGGUCUGAGAGGACGACCAGCCACACUGGGACUGAGACACGGCCCAGACUCCUACGGGAGGCAGCAGUGGGGAAUUUUGGACAAUGGGCGCAAGCCUGAUCCAGCAAUGCCGCGUGCAGGAUGAAGGCCUUCGGGUUGUAAACUGCUUUUGUACGGAGCGAAAAGGCUUCCACUAAUACUGGGGGCUCAUGACGGUACCGUAAGAAUAAGCACCGGCUAACUACGUGCCAGCAGCCGCCGUAAUAC
rnacentral:rRNA from 1 species